UACGAAGGGGGGCUAGCGUUGCUCGGAAUUACUGGGCGUAAAGGGAGCGUAGGCGGAUAGUUUAGUCAGAGGUGAAAGCCCAGGGCUCAACCUUGGAAUUGCCUUUGAUACUGGCUAUCUUGAGUACGGAAGAGGUAUGUGGAACUCCGAGUGUAGAGGUGAAAUUCGUAGAUAUUCGGAAGAACACCAGUGGCGAAGGCGACAUACUGGUCCGUUACUGACGCUGAGGCUCGAAAGCGUGGGGAGCAAACAGGG
rnacentral:rRNA from 1 species